UACGGGGGGAGCAAGCGUUGUUCGGAUUUACUGGGCGUAAAGGGCGCGUAGGCGGGAUGGCAAGUCGGUCGUGAAAUCUCUCGGCUCAACCGAGAAACGUCGGCCGAUACUGCCGUUCUUGAGGGAUGCAGAGGAGACUGGAAUUCCCGGUGUAGCGGUGAAAUGUGUAGAGAUCGGGAGGAACACCGGUGGCGAAGGCGGGUCUCUGGGCAUUUCCUGACGCUGAGGCGCGAAAGCGUGGGGAGCAAACGGG
rnacentral:rRNA from 1 species